rnacentral:rRNA from 1 species
CUCAGAACGAACGCUGGCGGCGCGUAUAAGGCAUGCAAGUCGAACGGAAAGGCCCCUUCGGGGGUGCUCGAGUGGCAAACGGGUGAGUAACACGUGGAUAACCAACCCUAAAGUGAGGAAUAGCUCCGGGAAACUGGUGGUAAUACCGCAUAAUACUUCAUUGUCAUAAGGCGAUGUAGUCAAAGGUUUCGACCGCUUUAGGACGGGUCCGCGGCCUAUUAGCUAGUUGGUGAGGUAAUGGCUCACCAAGGCGACGAUAGGUAGCCGGCUUGAGAGAGUGAACGGCCACAUUGGAACUGCGACACGGUCCAGACCCCUACGGGAGGCAGCAGCUAAGAAUCUUAGGCAAUGGGCGAAAGCCUGACCUAGCGACGCCGCGUGGAUGAUGAAGGCCUUCUAGGUUGUAAAAUCCUUUUCUACAGGAAGAAUGUCUGUGCAAAAUCAGGCUGACGGUACUGUGGGAAUAAGCCCCGGCUAAUUACGUGCCAGCAGCCGCGGCAAUACGUAAGGGGCAAGCGUUGUUCGGAUUUAUUGGGCGUAAAGGGUGCGUAGGCGGAAUAGUAAGUUGGAUGUGCAAUCCCGGGGCUCAACUCCGGAACUGCGUCCAAAACUGCCAUUCUUGAGUAUGGAAUAGGAAAGCGGAAUUCCUGGUGUAGGAGUGAAAUCUUUAGAUAUCAGGAAGAACACCGGCGGCGAAGGCGGCUUUCUAGUCCAUUACUGACGCUCAUGCACGAAAGCCAGGGGAGCAAACGGGAUUAGAUACCCCGGUAGUCCUGGCAGUAAACGUUGUGUACUAGGUGUUUGAGGCAUCGAUCCCUUAAGUGCCAAAGCUAACGCAUUAAGUACACCGCCUGGAGAGUAUGCUCGCAAGAGUGAAAUUCAAAGGAAUUGACGGGGGCCCGCACAAGCGGUGGAGCAUGUGGUUUAAUUCGACGCAACGCGAAGAACCUUACCUGGACUUGACAUCUCGGGAAUUCCGUUGAAAGACGGGAGUGCCUUUAACGAGGAAUCCGAUGACAGGUGCUGCAUGGCUGUCGUCAGCUCGUGUCGUGAGAUGUUGGGUUAAGUCCCGCAACGAGCGCAACCCCUAUCUUCAGUUGCCAUCAGGUGAUGCUGGGGACUUUGGAGAUACUGCCCCGGUUAACGGGGAGGAAGGUGGGGAUGACGUCAAGUCCUCAUGGCCUUUAUGUCCAGGGCUACACACGUGCUACAAUGGUAUGUACAAAGGGAAGCGAUCCCGCGAGGAGGAGCUAACCCCAAAAAGCAUAUCAAAGUUCGGAUCGGAGUCUGCAACUCGACUCCGUGAAGUUGGAAUCGCUAGUAAUCGCGGAUCAGCAUGCCGCGGUGAUACGUUCCCGGGCAUUGUACACACCGCCCGUCACACCAUGAGAGUUGGCUGUACCAGAAGUCGUUGGGCUAACCCGUAAGGGAGGUAGGCGCACUAAGGUAUGGUU